UACGAAGGGGGCUAGCGUUGCUCGGAAUCACUGGGCGUAAAGGGUGCGUAGGCGGGUUUUUAAGUCAGGGGUGAAAUCCUGGAGCUCAACUCCAGAACUGCCUUUGAUACUGAAAAUCUUGAGUCCGGGAGAGGUGAGUGGAACUGCGAGUGUAGAGGUGAAAUUCGUAGAUAUUCGCAAGAACACCAGUGGCGAAGGCGGCUCACUGGCCCGGUACUGACGCUGAGGAGCGAAAGCGUGGGGAGCGAACAGG
rnacentral:rRNA from 1 species